CAGCUUCACAGGUAUAGAAUACAGCAAUGAACAGAACACGGCAGGAAUAAUGGGCUGUCACUGCUGAGAUUAGGUCAUAAAGACGGGCUUCCAUCUCGCUCACCUCGUUUGCUUCGGCUCACUCUGAUGAAGCCAGCUGCCACGCUGUGAGCCACCCUAGGGAGAGACCUACGUGUCAAGGAACCGAGGGUGGCCUUUGGCCAAGAGCUAUCAAGGAUCUGAGGCCCUCGGUCCAACAACCGGUGAGAAACUGAAUCUUGCCAACAAUCACAUGAGUGAGACUGGAAACAGAUCCUUUCCUGUGGAGCCUGGGGUUGAUUGCGGCCCCAGCUGACAACUUGCAGCCUCUGGGAGUCCCUGAGAUGGAGGGCUCCGUCGCACUGAAACGGCGUUUAUCACUUCACGUUGCCUGGGCCCAGGACUUAAUCAUCGGAGCAGUCCAACUCCCAAGAAGAUUGAAUUCCCAACCAAGGCAGCUUUUAGGGGCACCUGGGUGGCCCACUUUGUUCAGUGUUC